rnacentral:rRNA from 1 species
GGAUGAACGCUAGCUACAGGCUUAACACAUGCAAGUCGAGGGGCAUCAGGAAGAAAGCUUGCUUUCUUUGCUGGCGACCGGCGCACGGGUGAGUAACACGUAUCCAACCUGCCCUUUACUCGGGGAUAGCCUUUCGAAAGAAAGAUUAAUACCCGAUGGCAUAAUGAUUCCGCAUGGUUUCAUUAUUAAAGGAUUCCGGUAAAGGAUGGGGAUGCGUUCCAUUAGGUUGUUGGUGGGGUAACGGCUCACCAAGCCUUCGAUGGAUAGGGGUUCUGAGAGGAAGGUCCCCCACAUUGGAACUGAGACACGGUCCAAACUCCUACGGGAGGCAGCAGUGAGGAAUAUUGGUCAAUGGGCGCUAGCCUGAACCAGCCAAGUAGCGUGAAGGAUGAAGGCUCUAUGGGUCGUAAACUUCUUUUAUAUAAGAAUAAAGUGCAGUAUGUAUACUGUUUUGUAUGUAUUAUAUGAAUAAGGAUCGGCUAACUCCGUGCCAGCAGCCGCGGUAAUACGGAGGAUCCGAGCGUUAUCCGGAUUUAUUGGGUUUAAAGGGAGCGUAGGUGGACUGGUAAGUCAGUUGUGAAAGUUUGCGGCUCAACCGUAAAAUUGCAGUUGAUACUGUCAGUCUUGAGUACAGUAGAGGUGGGCGGAAUUCGUGGUGUAGCGGUGAAAUGCUUAGAUAUCACGAAGAACUCCGAUUGCGAAGGCAGCUCACUGGACUGCAACUGACACUGAUGCUCGAAAGUGUGGGUAUCAAACAGGAUUAGAUACCCUGGUAGUCCACACAGUAAACGAUGAAUACUCGCUGUUUGCGAUAUACAGUAAGCGGCCAAGCGAAAGCAUUAAGUAUUCCACCUGGGGAGUACGCCGGCAACGGUGAAACUCAAAGGAAUUGACGGGGGCCCGCACAAGCGGAGGAACAUGUGGUUUAAUUCGAUGAUACGCGAGGAGCCUUACCCGGGCUUAAAUUGCAGUGGAAUGAUGUGGAAACAUGUCAGUGAGCAAUCACCGCUGUGAAGGUGCUGCAUGGUUGUCGUCAGCUCGUGCCGUGAGGUGUCGGCUUAAGUGCCAUAACGAGCGCAACCCUUAUCUUUAGUUACUAACAGGUCAUGCUGAGGACUCUAGAGAGACUGCCGUCGUAAGAUGUGAGGAAGGUGGGGAUGACGUCAAAUCAGCACGGCCCUUACGUCCGGGGCUACACACGUGUUACAAUGGGGGGUACAGAAGGCAGCUAGCGGGUGACCGUAUGCUAAUCCCAAAAUCCUCUCUCAGUUCGGAUCGAAGUCUGCAACCCGACUUCGUGAAGCUGGAUUCGCUAGUAAUCGCGCAUCAGCCACGGCGCGGUGAAUACGUUCCCGGGCCUUGUACACACCGCCCGUCAAGCCAUGGGAGCCGGGGGUACCUGAAGUACGUAACCGCAAGGA